rnacentral:lncRNA from 1 species
GGUAGCUUCAUGUUCAAGAUGCACAGAGGCAAAGGGAGACUGAAUGACUUCUCAGAGGCAUUUUGGUUAAAAAAAAUGAUUAUCAGAAGAUGUGGGAAUAAAUGAAGAGGUUUGUAAAAUUUUUAGUGCUGUUAAUUUAACAGUAAUUUUGUCUUAGAAUCAAUCUUCCAAUAGAACAUCUGAUUUAGCACCAAUCUAACGUGUUCUCCAUCUCUUCUUCUGUAGGGGCAGGAUGGUAGGCAAAGCUGCUUCAGUGGACAGUCGCAUGAUAGAGUAAGCUGAGGUCUGAGAAACCAUGUGAGCAUUGCCUGGCACAUGGGAAGCAGGUACGAGUGCCCAUACAGAGGUCAGAGGACAUCUUGUAAGAAUUGGUUCUCUCACGAAGUUUGGAGCUGAGACGAAAGGAUGGACCAUCUACAGACUGCCAUAUCCAGGGAUCCAUCCCAUAAUCAGCUUCCAAACGCUGGCACCAUUGCAUACACUAGCAAGAUUUUGCUGAAAGGACCCAGAUAUAGCUGUCUCUUGUGAGACUAUGCCGGGGACUAGCAAACACAGAAGUGGAUGCUCACAGUCAGCUAUUGGAUGGAUCACAGGGCCCCCAAUGGAGGAGCUAGAGAAAGUACCCAAGGAGCUAAAGGGAUCUGCAACCUUAUAGGUGGAACAACAUUCCAGAGCUCAUGCCUCUAGCUGCAUAUAUAUCAGAAGAUGGCCUAGUCGGCCAUAAGUGGAAAGAGAGGCCCAU